rnacentral:misc_RNA from 1 species
UUUCCGUAGGUGAACCUGCGGAAGGAUCAUUAAAAAUGAAGCCGGGAAACCGGUCCUUCUAACCCUUGAUUAUCUUAAUUUGUUGCUUUGGUGGGCCGCGCAAGCACCGGCUUCGGCUGGAUCGUGCCCGCCAGAGGACACAACUCUGUAUCAAAUGUCGUCUGAGUACUAUAAAAUAGUUAAAACUCUCAACAACGGAUCUCUUGGUUCUG